GACGAACGCUGGCGGCGUGCUUAACACAUGCAAGUCGAACGGAAAGGCCCUGCUUUUGUGGGGUGCUCGAGUGGCGAACGGGUGAGUAACACGUGAGUAACCUGCCCUUGACUUUGGGAUAACUUCAGGAAACUGGGGCUAAUACCGGAUAGGAGCUCCCGCUGCAUGGUGGGGGUUGGAUAGUUUCGGCGGUUGGGGAUGGACUCGCGGCUUAUCAGCUUGUUGGUGGGGUAGUGGCUUACCAAGGCUUUGACGGGUAGCCGGCCUGAGAGGGUGACCGGCCACAUGGGGACUGAGAUACGGCCCAGACGCCUACGGGAGGCAGCAGUGGGGAAUAUUGCACAAUGGGCGGAAGCCUGAUGCAGCAACGCCGCGUGCGGGAUGACGGCUUUCGGGGUGUAAACCGCUUUCGCCUGUGACGAAGCGUGAGUGACGGUAAUGGGUAAAGAAGCACCGGCUAACUACGUG
rnacentral:rRNA from 1 species